GCGAUAGUUAAAUACCGUAAAGACUGAGGAUGACCCUCUUAAUGCUGUGUUCACUAACUAUCUUGAGUUUCGAAGGCGGUUUCUUGAAUUCUCGAAGGAAGGGUGAAAUUGUUGAUAUUGGAAGACAUUCGAUAGCGAAAGCAAUAACCGAUUCGGAUCUGACGCUAGGUACUAAAGUAUGGGGAUAAAUAGGAUUAGAGACCUAGUAGUCCAUACCUUAAACAAUGAGUAUUCAACAUCUUUUAGCACGAAUGUGCUAUCUGGGGUUUAAAGUUACGCCGCGAAACACUA
rnacentral:rRNA from 1 species